rnacentral:rRNA from 1 species
UGGGGAAUAUUGCACAAUGGCGGGAACUCUGAUGCAGCGACGCCGCGUGAACGAAGAAGGCUUUCGAGUCGCAAAGUUCUUAUAUAUGGGAAGAUAAUGACGGUACCAUAAGAUAAAGCCCCGGCUAACUACGUGCCAGCAGCCGCGGUAAUACGUAGGGGGCUAGCGUUGUCCGGAAUCACUGGGCGUCAAGGGUUCGCAGGCGGAAAUGCAAGUCAGGUGUAAAAGGCAGUAGCUUAACUACUGUAAGCAUUUGAAACUGCAUAUCUUGAGAAGAGUAGCAGUAAGUGUGAUUUUUAGUGUAGCGGUGAAAUGCAUAGAUAUUAAAAAGAAUACCGGUGGCGAAGGCGACUUACUGGGCACAUUCUGACGAUGAGGAACGAAAGCGUGGGUAGCAAACAGG